rnacentral:rRNA from 1 species
UACGGAGGGUGCAAGCGUUGUCCGGAUUUAUUGGGUUUAAAGGGUGCGUAGGUGGCCCCUUAAGUCCGUGGUGAAAGCCUGCCGCUUAACGGCAGAACUGCCAUGGAUACUGAGGGACUUGAGUCCAGACGAGGUUGGCGGAAUGGAUGGUGUAGCGGUGAAAUGCAUAGAUACCAUCCAGAACCCCGAUUGCGUAGGCAGCUGACUAGGCUGGUACUGACACUGAGGCACGAAAGCGUGGGGAGCGAACAGG